rnacentral:other from 1 species
UGAACCCUGCUGUGUGCGUGAUGGGCUUCUCGCGUUGAGCCAACGCUUCUUUUAAAGGGAAUUAAAAUACGGCGAGGGGAUGUAGUAGCGCCCGCAAGGCAGUAACCUCCCGAUAAGAUUCCCACCUGCCAUUGCAGGUCCCAACAAAAGAUGCCCACACGGCAUGGCGGGGCUGUA